CACACAUCUGAACCACGAGGUGGUCAAGAGUAUUCUGUACGAGUACAAGGU
rnacentral:ribozyme from 1 species